UAAUAAAGAUAAUAAAUACCUGCUUCCGAUAUGUUCGUCAUAAGUUCUACGUAAUACAACCGUCGUCUGUGUUGAUUAGGAUUUUUUCCCCGCGGCAUGAUUGAGCGACCAGAGGAACAAAAGUGUUUACGAUUCACGAUUAGAUGUGACCAACGAUGUCAUUGAUAUCGUUGUGGUCCGAGGAAAGUUAUUAUGAAGCCGCCAUCAUCAAAUAGGAAUCACCGAAUCCCGUAAGAUAAAUAAAGAUUGAAAGAAAUCUGUAACAAAAGCUGGGCAAUAAAAGAAAUAGCGAUCUGAAAUUGAUGAUAUUCUGCCAUAUCUGGAAAUUUUCUCUGUGAUCGAACAAUAAUCUGCACAAAAGAAUUACACAAAAUGUUAAAGUAAUGUAUAAAAGUAGUAAAUUAUAUAAAAAUAAAACAACAAUCUACGUCAAAUACGCACAAACGUGACUACCAAACGUCGUUUCGCGACGUCUAACAACUUCAGUCUCCGACAUUAAACUGACAUCUCACUCUACGGUUUGUCUAGCGAAUAAUGGUGACGAGGAAUGAAAAUAGCAGAGGCUGCUCUUCGGUAAGUGGAGCGAUACGAAUACUAGUCGUCAGAUUCCUGGAAAAAAUAUGUUUUUCUUAGCGAUCUUAUUAUGUUUCAAACAAAGAAAUAUUAUGAUAGGUUAAACAGUGAGAUAUGCGUAAAAAGUAAACACACGUAAGUUAAUAUUUAGAUCACUUUAGAUACUCAUAGAUCACUCAUAGAUACCUGCGCUUAUAUGUCAUAAUUUUAUUUGAUUAAAUAAAAUUGACUGCUAUAUAAAGCUUAAAGAUGACAUGUAUUUUAGAUCGAAAUAAAAUGAUGCUACUGGUCAGAAAAUUUUAAUAGAGAGAGAGAGAGAGAGAGAGAGAGAGAGA